rnacentral:rRNA from 1 species
UACGUAGGGUGCGAGCGUUGUCCGGAAUUAUUGGGCGUAAAGAGCUUGUAGGCGGUCUGUCGCGUCUGCCGUGAAAGUCCGGGGCUCAACUCCGGAUCUGCGGUGGGUACGGGCAGACUAGAGUGAUGUAGGGGAGACUGGAAUUCCUGGUGUAGCGGUGAAAUGCGUAGAUAUCGGGAGGAACACCAGUGGCGAAGGCGGCUGCCUGGGCCAGUUCUGACGCUGAGGCGCGAAAGCGUGGGGAGCAAACAGGG